UUCGGUGAUUACACGAGUGGCGCACGGGUGCGUAACGCGUAUGCAACCUACCUUUAACAGGAGAGAUAGCUCCGAGAAAUUGGGAUUAAUACUCCAUAAUAUUAUUUUAUUGCAUGAUAAAAUAAUUAAAGCUACGGCGGUUAAAGAUGGGCAUGCGUGACAUUAGCUGGUUGGUAAGGUAACGGCUUACCAAAGCGACGAUGUCUAGGGGGUCUGAGAGGAUGAUCCCCCACACUGGUACUGAGACACGGACCAGACUCCUACGGGAGGCAGCAGUGUUGAAUAUUGGUCAAUGGACGCAAGUCUGAACCAGCCAUGCCGCGUGCAGGAUUGACGGCCCUAUGGGUUGUAAACUGCUUUUAUUUGGGAAGAAAGGUCGCUACGAGUAGUGAUUUGACGGUACCAUUUGAAUAAGCACCGGCUAACUCCGUGCCAGCAGCCGCGGUAAUACGGAGGGUGCAAGCGUUAUCCGGAUUCAUUGGGUUUAAAGGGUGCGUAGGCUGAUAGAUAAGUCAGUGGUGAAAUCUUGCGGCUUAACCGUAAAACUGCCAUUGAUACUGUUUAUCUAGAGUACAUAUGAGGUAGGCGGAAUAUAAGUAUGUAGCGGUGAAAUGCCUAGAUAUACUAUAGAACACCGAUUGCGAA
rnacentral:rRNA from 1 species